rnacentral:lncRNA from 1 species
AAGAGUUGGGACCGACAAACUGCAGGAAUGAGCAAUUGGCUAGUUCCGGUGGUUCCGAAGGAUUUUUCAGUCAAUUUAUUUACAGGUAAACUUGACAACAUACCAGAUCCCGACGGCUUGAGCGAAGGUUCUAUCUUCGAAAGCAAAGAGGAGCUGAAAUUAGCGGUGGGGUUGUGGCAUUUGCAACGUCGUGCAAAAUUUGUCAUUCCUCGAUCGGACUUGGAUAGGAUCGUUCAAAUGCAGAUAUCGUACUCAGUGCCCAUUUAUGUUGCGAGCUACUCAACAUGGUGACUUUUGGAUGGUUCGAAAGUUUGGGCCUGCCCAUACAUGUACUGUAAUACCCCGCCCAUUUCUAUUAAGUUUAGAAUUAUUUUUGAACUUAGACUACGAUGAUUUACGCCGGAGAAAUGAAACGAUUUAUUUUUAAUUCCAACAAAUGAUUUACAAAAACUUUUGUAAAAUUUUAUUUAUUUAAAUUCUCAUGCAUUGCAUAUUUAUUUAAAUUGAG